rnacentral:snRNA from 1 species
GUGCUCGCUUUAGAAGCACAUAUACUAAAAUUGGAAUGAUACAGAGAAGAUUAGCAUGGCCCCUGUGCAAGGAUGACACAAAAAUUUGUGAAGUGUUCCAUACUUUU